CCGGGCCCGGUCAGAACCUAAUUGAUGUGUUCAAUUUAGUUCUAUGUCGAAACAAAUCGGAGAUCGAGAAACAAAUGCUGGACAAUAAGUAAGACCAUGUUCCAUGUGUUUGUCCGGCUGAUAUCAUGAGAGCAGAGGAUUAUAUGAUCACUUAUCUUAAAUGGCGUAUCAUCAUCAUCUCAGUUCCGAGAGACUUUGAAAGAGCUACGAUUGCUAGUCGGAUUUUGAAGUCAUAUUUGCAAAUAUAGUUAUUAGACUUAUCCAAGUGGGAGACUGUUGGAUAUAGUGUCUAAGUCCAUAACUUUAUUUGGUAUGUACUUGACCCGACCCGGCAUGGUCCAUUUGGGUUGCAUGGCAUUGCAAUACUUGGAUAGACUAAAUGAGAGAAUAUGGCACUUAUGAUUAUUAAUAUAUUAUAAGUUCUAAUAUAUUAAUAAUAGUAUUAUUUAAUUAGUAUUUGAUCAAGUAUUAAUCUAGUAUUAAUUUGGUGAUCAAAGUGAGACUAAUUAAAUAUAUAAGGGUUGAUUAUGACAAUCAUCAAUUCUUUUAUGGUGGAUUAAUGAUCCAUGGUUUAUGGGUUAUGGAUGUAACCAUUUGGAGCUCCAUGGAUAGUCCAUGGGAGCUACAAACCCAUAGGUCAUGAGAAAUGAAGAGUCAUGACAAUUAAGAGUAUUCAUGUGAAAACCCUAAUUGUGACACCACUAUAAAAGGGACCCUUUGGCUAGUGAAAUCGGACCUAGUAAGGUUACUAGAGAGGGCAUAACCGAUUUUGAGUGCUAGAAGUAUUCUCUCAAGUUAUUCCAAGUUUUGUGGUGUUGUGUGAAGCAUUUGAGGCACAACAUUUGGGGUGCUAGGCUCACAAAGUCUUGAAGGAAUCCAAGCAACAACAAGGUAUGUAUUUCUACUAGUUUUAUAUUUUAUGUAAUCCCCAUGCCAUGCUAGUUAGGAUAUAACCUUGAAAAAGAAAUUUGCAUGUAUAUAGAGAAAACAUAGAUUCAAGGUUAUUAGGGUUGCAUGUACACUUAGGAAGUGUUAGAAUGCUCAAAACCCAUCAUGAACAUUGAAGUAUCCCCUUGCUACCCAAGGGUAUAGAAUGAACUAGAAGAACUUUUAUGACUAUAUAUGUACACAUGAUAUAUAACUAAUAUUUAAACGACCUUCAGACGGAUGCCCGAUAUCCCACCAGACCACAUCUCAACGGCGAAAAGUAAAUAGAGCGUGCAGGCCUUCCUAAGCCUUUUAAACAUUGCUUACAUAACUAUACAUACAUAGACAUGCAAUUGAUAAUAAGUAUAACGAAGCUUAAGUAAAUGUAUUUCAUAAGUAUAAGAAUUUGUAAAACAGUUUGAAGCAUAAGAGUUUGAUAAACAGUUUAAGUAUAAAGAAACAUUUGUUUGAAACACAAUUGUAAAUGAGUUUGAAAUGAAACAUACAGUGUAGAAUGAACAGUUUAAUAAGGAGUUUUAACAUAUAAAACAUUUAUGAAAAUCAUGUGAAGAAAUCUGUUUGGUAAAACGGCUAAUGAGUAGUAAAUCGUUUGAAUGCUGCUUAUUAAUCACAUGUGAUUGAUAUAAUAACUAGCAUGAUUCUACUUGUAUCUCCCCAUAAAACAUUUAAAAACAUUUAAAACAUUGACUUAGGGGUAUGAACUCACCUGUAGCAAGUGGUUGGGAUGAACGGACUGAAACAUGAUGCUACGUGUCAAGUGAAGUCUUGAACACACUCUAUGAUCCUAGUUAACAUAUAAUAUCACAUAUAUGUAUCCAAUUAGUCUUUAAACAACUAAUAAACAAGUCAAGACACCCUAGGACAUGCUAAACACUUUAUAUAAGUGUUAUAAGUCUCAAGGAUUGCAUCUAAGUGUUGUAGGGAAGGGCUAGUGUGCUUGGGGUUCAAGGAACACUCCUUUAAGGAGUUUACGGUUUUGUGGUCACUAGCAAAAGGGUUUACGGUCGUAAACUCACCCUAUUUUUGACCAUUUGUUGUUUGAAGCUUUUUNAGCUUUUUAAUCAAAUCCAAGCAUUCCUGCUUCAUAUUUAAUCCUUAGGAAGUGUUGUGUGGCAUCAAAACACUCCUAAAUGGAGUUUACGGUCUAUGGAUCAUUUCGCCAUGAGUUUACUAUUGUAAACCCUAAUGGACAUAGGUAUUUUGGUGUUUUCAAGUCCUAAACACUUCAAGAUAAUAGCCUAGGUUAGAUUCUAGGCAUUAGGAGUAAAUAUGGGACAUUUAAACACCCUUUUGGGGUGUUUACGGUUUUCGGAGAUCCCCAAACCGUAAACACAUAAAAAUGAUUGUUUUCUUGUUCUUUUAUGUGAUAAACACAUCAAGGAUGGAUCUAGACAAGUCCCUAAGGCAUUGUGAAGCAUCUAGACACCCUAAAGCACCCUUUGGCACUAUAUUUGGUGUUUACGGUUUUGGGAGCCUCCCAAAACCGUGAACACCUUGUUCUUGGUGUUCUUGGGACCUUUUCCUUGAUAUUAGUAUGUAUAGCAAGCUUUAAAUGACUCUAUGAUAGAAGUACUUACUUUGUGGAAGCUUGAAAUGAACUUAAAGUCCAAGAACACUAGUGUGUGUUCUUGGUGUUCUUGUGUUUUGGAAAUCUAAUUAAAACAUGAAAUUUGAUGGAUUAAAGGAUGUAAAAUCACUAGAUGUUGUGAUAUACCAACAAAUCAAGCCAAGAAGUACUUACGUUUUCAGGGAAAUCGGGCGAAAACCGGGAUGAUAGUUGAGAGUGUUUUGAGUUUACUCUUUAGGGUGAAAGUAACGAGGUACUUUGGGGAGUAAACUCAUGCUUAAGGCAUGAGUUUACGGUUUUUGAGGGAGUUUACGGCCCAAACAUAGAUUUUGGCCGUGAACUUCUAAGCUACGUGGUAUUCGCAGUUUAGAAAUUUCAAGACCCAAGUCGUCACAUCCUUUCACCCGUUCGUUUAAAGAUUAAUUAUUAAAAUAAUCAAACGAACUUUAAAUUUUCUAAAAACCAAUAAAAGUGAAAUUGACUUAUAAUUUGAAAUGAUUGACUCUAGGGUUUUACCGGAUGAAGAUUUCGGGUUGUCACAGGUUAGAUGAUAGUUGCGAAUCAUGCUUACUUGGAAAAAUGACAAAGUCACCCUUCACAGGUUCUUGUGAGAGGGGUGAAGGUUUGUUGGAUCUUGUAUACAUGGAUGCGUGUGGACCCUUCAAAUAUGCCACAAGGGAUGCUAAUUGUUAUUAUUUGACUUUUACUGAUGAUUAUAGUAGAUAUGGGUAUGUCUACUUAAUCAAGCAUAAGUCAGAGACUUUCGCAAGGUUUAAGGAAUUUAAACAGGAAGUCGAGAAUCAGUUGGGCAGGAACAUUAAGAUGCUUCAAUCCGAUCGAGGUGGUGAGUAUCUUAGUUCAAAGUUCCUCGAAUAUCUUAGGGAAUGUGGGAUUGUCUCACAAUUGACACCUCCCAGGACACCACAGUUGAAUGGUGUAGCUAAGAGGCGUAAUCGAACCUUGUUGGAUAUGGUUCAUUCCAUGAUGAGUCAAGCUUCGCUACCAAUCUCAUUCUGGGGGUAUGCCUUAGAGAAUGCCGCCCAUAUCCUUAAUCUAGUCCCUACAAAGAAAGUUGCCAAAAACUCCUCGCGAGAUGUGGACUGGUAAAGUACCCAAACUAGACCACAUCAAGAUUUGGGGUUGUGAGGCUUUUGUGAUGCGCGAGUCUCAUGAUAAGCUAGAACCCCGAAGCGAGAGGUGUAUUUUCAUUGGCUAACCACAAAGAUCCUUUGGUUACCUCUUCUACAGACCUAGUGAUAAUGUGGUCUUUGUAGCAAGAAGAGGAGUCUUGAGAGAGAGAGAGAGAGAGAGAGAGAGAGAGAGAAAGAGAGUUUAUAAGCCAAGGAGACAGUGGGAGGCAAAUUGAUCUUGAAGAAAUUCAAGAAUCAAGCGGUGAAGGAACUUCAAACUCUAGCCCUCAACUUGAGGAGGAAACUCCUAUUGAGCCAAUUGACGAGUUUGUACCUCUGUGGCAUUCCACGAGAGUUAGGAAUGCACCUAAUCAUUACUAUGGUUUCCAUAUUAAUGCGGAAGGUGAGACACUUAUUAGUGAUGAGACACUAGUAGGUCUGGAUGAACCUAAUAGUUACGCGGAAGCUAUGGCAGGCCCUGAGUCUACUAAAUGGAAAGAGGCUAUGGAUAGAGAGAUACAAUCCAUGUAUGACAAUCAAGUUUGGAACUUGGUUGAGAAUGUACCAGGUCGUAAGACUGUAGGGUGCAAAUGGAUCUUCAAGAAGAAGACCGACAUGGAUGGUAAAGUACACACUUAUAAGGCUCGACUGGUUGCAAAGGGCUUCUCUCAAAUUCCUGGAGUGGACUAUGAUGAGACCUUUUCUCCAGUAGCCAAGAUUAAGUCUAUUCGGGUUCUGUUAGCCAUAGCUGCAUUUCAUGACUAUGAAAUAUGGCAGAUGGAUGUCAAAACCGCUUUCCUUAAUGGAAAGUUGGCUGAAGAUGUUUACAUGAGUCAGCCAGAGGGUUUUGUCAGCAACGAGUACCCUAAUAGAGUGUGUAAGCUUGAGAAAUCCAUUUAUGGAUUGAAGCAAGCACCUCGCAGAUGGAAUCUUUGCUUUGAUGAAAAGGUCAAGGAAUUUGGCUUUUCUAGGAGUGAAGAUGAAUCUUGUGUGUAUGUCAAGGCUAGUGGGAGUAUAGUUAGCUUUUUGGUAUUGUAUGUGGAUGACAUACUACUCAUAGGAAAUGACAUUCCAACUCUGUAGGAAGUUAAGUCCUGGCUUGGGAAGUGUUUCUCUAUGAAGGACCUAGGAGAACCUGCCUAUAUUCUAGGGAUAAGGAUUUUGAGAGACCGGAGUAAAACACUAAUUGGACUUAGUCAAAGUACCUACUUGGAACGGGCGUUGAAGAGAUUCAGCAUGCAGAACUCCAAGAAAGGAGAGUUACCCAUCCAGAGUAAUGCUAGAUUGAGUAAGACACAAAGCCCUAGUACUGAGGCUGAGAGUUGUAGGGUAUUGUGAUGAUGGCUUCCAGACUGAUAGGGAUAAUUUCCACUCUCAGUCGGGCUGGGUCUUUACCCUAAACGGAGGAGCAAUCACUUGGAAGAGUUCCAAGCAGGAGACAGUGGCUGAUUCCACUUGUGAAUCAGAGUAUAUAGCAGCGAUCGAGGUAGCAAAGGAGGCUAUGUGGCUGAAGAACUUCAUAGGAGACCUUGGAGUAGUACCAGCUAUAAAGGAGCCCAUGAAAAUUUUCUAUGAUAGUGAAAGUGUUGUUGCCUUAGCCAAGGAACCAAGGGAUCAUGGUAGAUCCAGACACAUCGAUAGAAAAUAUCAUUUUAUCAUACAUCGCAUAGAAGAAGGAAUCCCCGUGGCAAAGAGGGUAUCAUUGGAUGAUAACCCACCAGAUCCCCUCACAAAGGGACUGAGUAGGGUUAAGCAUCUCCAGCAUGCUCGGAGCAUAGUGCUGAAUGAUGAUAUAAGUCUUAGUUGUUAGAUAAAUUAUGAAAUUUGCAAAGUGUAAUUGACAUUUGAUGAUGAAUAAAAGUUGUGUUUAUUUAUGAGUAAAGUGUUACUAUCUUAUGUCAAUCGUUUACUAUAAUUUCUUUUGCAAGUUUUGACUUCGAGAAUAGUAUGUUGUGGUUUUACAUAUUAUUCAAAUUUUCCACAGUCGGUCAUAUGUUGGAAGUAGAUAUGAAGUAAGACUGUCAUGAAGUUGGUUGUAGGUGUCAGGAUAUAAGACAACACUUCAUGAGUGCUCAUAAGUUCUUAGUAUUGCAAUCAACCCACACUCACUGGAAUCACUUCAUGGAAUUUUAUUUCGAGUGAUCGUGAGACGGUAAUAUCAUAUAAGUCUUCAAACCAAGAGAUAUGAUUUGUUGCCUAUGAAUUGAUUAUGCAUUGAUUGUACGAAAACGCAUAGGUAACUCGAUGUUAUAAAACAUCCUCUUGUGUAUAAUUCAACUAGUAGUAGAACAAACAUAUGAGUCGAAGUUUAUAUGUUCCUUCUUGGAUUAGAAGCUGAUAUCUGGGCCCCUCGAUGAUUUUGUUUUGACCUAGGUACAGGCCCGGUCAGAACUAAGUUGAUGUGUUCAAUUAAGUUCUUUGUCAAACGAAUCGGAAAUCGGGAAACAAACUGCUGGACAAUAAGUAAGACAUUGUUCCAUGUAUUUUUCCGGCUGAUAUCUAGAACAGAGGAUUAUAUGAUCACUUAUCUUAAAUGGCGUAUCAACAUCUUCUCAGUUCCGAGAGACCUUGAAAGAGCUACGAUUGCCGAUCGGUUCCUGAAGUAUUGCAGUUAUAGUUAUUAGACUUAUCCAAGUGGGAGACUGUUGGAUAAGGUGUCUAAGUCCAUAACUAUUUCUGGUAAGUACUUGACCCGACCCGGCAUGGUCCAUUUGGGUUGCAUGGCACCAUGCAAUUGGAUAAACUAAAUGAGAGAAAUAACACAUAUGGUUUAUUAAUAUAUUAUAAGUUCUAAUAUAUUAAUAAUAUUGUUUAAUUAGUUUUGAUC
rnacentral:lncRNA from 1 species